UACGUAGGGGGCUAGCGUUGUCCGGAAUCAUUGGGCGUAAAGCGCGUGUAGGCGGCCCGGUAAGUCCGCUGUGAAAGUCGGGGGCUCAACCCUCGAAAGCCGGUGGAUACUGUCGGGCUCGAGUACGGGAGAGGUGAGUGGAAUUCCUAGUGUAGAGGUGAAAUUCGUAGAUAUUAGGAAGAACACCAGUGGCGAAGGCGGCUCACUGGCCCGGUACUGACGCUGAGGCGCGAAAGCGUGGGGAGCAAACAGG
rnacentral:rRNA from 1 species